rnacentral:rRNA from 1 species
AUGCGUUGUUGGGUAGGGGAGCGUUCUGUAAGCCUGCGAAGGUGGCCUGUGAGGGUUGCUGGAGGUAUCAGAAGUGCGAAUGCUGACAUAAGUAACGAUAAAGCGGGUGAAAAGCCCGCUCGCCGGAAGACCAAGGGUUCCUGUCCAACGUUAAUCGGGGCAGGGUGAGUCGACCCCUAAGGCGAGGCCGAAAGGCGUAGUCGAUGGGAAACGGGUUAAUAUUCCCGUACUUGGUGUUACUGCGAAGGGGGGACGGAGAAGGCUAUGUUGGCCGGGCGACGGUUGUCCCGGUUUAAGCGUGUAGGUGUGUGUUCCAGGUAAAUCCGGUUCACUUUAACACUGAGGCGUGAUGACGAGGCACUACGGUGCUGAAGCAACAAAUGCCCUGCUUCCAGGAAAAGCCUCUAAGCAUCAGGUAACAUCAAAUCGUACCCCAAACCGACACAGGUGGUCAGGUAGAGAAUACCAAGGCGCUUGAGAGAACUCGGGUGAAGGAACUAGGCAAAAUGGUGCCGUAACUUCGGGAGAAGGCACGCUGACACGUAGGUGAAGUGAUUUACUCACGGAGCUGAAGUCAGUCGAAGAUACCAGCUGGCUGCAACUGUUUAUUAAAAACACAGCACUGUGCAAACACGAAAGUGGACGUAUACGGUGUGACGCCUGCCCGGUGCCGGAAGGUUAAUUGAUGGGGUCAGCGCAAGCGAAGCUCCUGAUCGAAGCCCCGGUAAACGGCGGCCGUAACUAUAACGGUCCUAAGGUAGCGAAAUUCCUUGUCGGGUAAGUUCCGACCUGCACGAAUGGCGUAAUGAUGGCCAGGCUGUCUCCACCCGAGACUCAGUGAAAUUGAACUCGCUGUGAAGAUGCAGUGUACCCGCGGCAAGACGGAAAGACCCCGUGAACCUUUACUAUAGCUUGACACUGAACAUUGAGCCUUGAUGUGUAGGAUAGGUGGGAGGCUUUGAAGUGUGGACGCCAGUCUGCAUGGAGCCGACCUUGAAAUACCACCCUUUAAUGUUUGAUGUUCUAACGUGGACCCGUUACCCGGGUUGCGGACAGUGUCUGGUGGGUAGUUUGACUGGGGCGGUCUCCUCCUAAAGAGUAACGGAGGAGCACGAAGGUUGGCUAAUCCUGGUCGGACAUCAGGAGGUUAGUGCAAUGGCAUAAGCCAGCUUGACUGCGAGCGUGACGGCGCGAGCAGGUGCGAAAGCAGGUCAUAGUGAUCCGGUGGUUCUGAAUGGAAGGGCCAUCGCUCAACGGAUAAAAGGUACUCCGGGGAUAACAGGCUGAUACCGCCCAAGAGUUCAUAUCGACGGCGGUGUUUGGCACCUCGAUGUCGGCUCAUCACAUCCUGGGGCUGAAGUAGGUCCCAAGGGUAUGGCUGUUCGCCAUUUAAAGUGGUACGCGAGCUGGGUUUAGAACGUCGUGAGACAGUUCGGUCCCUAUCUGCCGUGGGCGCUGGAGAACUGAGGGGGGCUGCUCCUAGUACGAGAGGACCGGAGUGGACGCAUCACUGGUGUUCGGGUUGUCAUGCCAAUGGCACUGCCCGGUAGCUAAAUGCGGAAGAGAUAAGUGCUGAAAGCAUCUAAGCACGAAACUUGCCCCGAGAUGAGUUCUCCCUGAGACUUAGAGUCUCCUGAAGGAACGUUGAAGACGACGACGUUGAUAGGCCGGGUGUGUAAGCGCAGCGAUGCGUUGAGCUAACCGGUACUAAUGAACCGUGAGGCUUAACCUUACAACGCCGAAG